GGUGAUGGUGGUCUUAAAUAUCAAGGUGAUCUGCAGUUCAAGGUUCUUCCUCAAGAAAUAAUUCUAAGAAGAUUUAAUAAAAUUGGAAGAAAUUACUAAGGGAGCCCACAGGGAGUCUGUGAAGUUUUUAUAAGAGGCCUGUGAAAAUUUACCUGUGAAAAUUCAGGGAGUUUUGAUUUGCUUUGUAAAGCUCUGCUCUUCUGCUGGGACAAAAGAAAAAAAAGAAAAGAAAACUAGGAGCCUGCAAAAAAAGUAUAUGUUUAUGCUGUAAAUGACUGCAUGCUAACACCUCUGUAGUCAGUUCAGGAAAGGGAUCUUUUCACAAGGUGGGAAACAGUCCAAAUUCAGCCCUAAUUCAGUCCCUUAUGGUAUACAGAACUUGGUAGAAGGAAAUAAAGGAGAACUGCAUCAGCACCCCAGGAAAAAAAAAAAAAAGAGGUUGACCCUCAGAAGAUUCUCUACAAACUGCAGGAAUUAUUUAAAAACAGGAUGCAGGAAGAGCCAUUCCAGCUUAGACUAA
rnacentral:lncRNA from 1 species